AUAAAAGGUCGUGAGUUUGAGUGC
rnacentral:siRNA from 1 species